rnacentral:rRNA from 1 species
UUCCGUAGGUGAACCUGCGGAGGGAUCAUUACCGRGUKYWCRRCUCCUCMAACCCCUGUGAACAUACCUAUACGUUGCCUCGGCGGAUCAGCCCGCGCCCUGUAAAAAGGGACGGCCCGCCCGAGGACCCUAAACUCUGUUUUUAGUGGAACUUCUGAGUAAAACAAACAAAUAAAUCAAAACUUUCAACAACGGAUCUCUUGGUUCUGGCAUCGAUGAAGAACGCAGCAAAAUGCGAUAAGUAAUGUGAAUUGCAGAAUUCAGUGAAUCAUCGAAUCUUUGAACGCACAUUGCGCCCGCCAGUAUUCUGGCGGGCAUGCCUGUUCGAGCGUCAUUUCAACCCUCAAGCUCAGCUUGGUGUUGGGACUCGCGGUAACCCGCGUUCCCCAAAUCGAUUGGCGGUCACGUCGAGCUUCCAUAGCGUAGUAAUCAUACACCUCGUUACUGGUAAUCGUCGCGGCCACGCCGUAAAACCCCAACUUCUGAAUGUUGACCUCGGAUCAGGUAGGARYMCMYKCUGAACUUAAGCAUAUCAAAAGGCGGAGGAAG